rnacentral:rRNA from 1 species
UGGGGAAUUUUGGACAAUGGGCGAAAGCCUGAUCCAGCAAUGCCGCGUGUGUGAAGAAGGCCUUCGGGUUGUAAAGCACUUUUGUCCGGGAAAGAAAUCCUUGGCUCUAAUACAGUCGGGGGAUGACGGUACCGGAAGAAUAAGCACCGGCUAACUACGUGCCAGCAGCCGCGGUAAUACGUAGGGUGCAAGCGUUAAUCGGAAUUACUGGGCGUAAAGCGUGCGCAGGCGGUUUGCUAAGACCGAUGUGAAAUCCCCGGGCUCAACCUGGGAACUGCAUUGGUGACUGGCAGGCUAGAGUAUGGCAGAGGGGGGUAGAAUUCCACGUGUAGCAGUGAAAUGCGUAGAGAUGUGGAGGAAUACCGAUGGCGAAGGCAGCCCCCUGGGCCAAUACUGACGCUCAUGCACGAAAGCGUGGGGAGCAAAACAGGAUUAGAUACCCUGGUAGUCCACGCCCUAAACGAUGUCAACUAGUUGUUGGGGAUUCAUUUCCUUAGUAACGUAGCUAACGCGUGAAGUUGACCGCCUGGGGAGUACGGUCGCAAGAUUAAAACUCAAAGGAAUUGAC